CUUGGAGGUUGUCGCGAGCGAGCGUCGACGAGGGUCGCGAGGGCCGCGAGUACCGCGUCGGGGCCCUCUGGAGUCCGUGUCCACAUGGACGCCCCGGGAGCGCCUGCGGGACCCCGGGUGCAUUCUACGGGCCGGGGCGAGCAGUGUGCCGUGUCAGAGCAGUGACGCAGCUCUAGCCGGGUGCAAGUGCCUACUCUGCGAAACCGAAUACACGCGUGCGCCAUCUUCUGUAUACGCCCAUGUUGUGCGUUAAUUUCUGAAUAUCUCCGAUGUACGCUUGUUACUUGGCCAUUCGGCACACAUCCCUUGGGACAGGGGCUCUGGGUGUGAACCUGGCCACUCUGGAAAUAAAAGUGUACGAAAAUCGCCCCCCUGCAGCUGCAGCGGCUCGCACGUGCAGCCCACGCGAGGCGGCGGCCGCGGCGGUAGCGCGCUCCCCGCGACACACGUGAGCGCGUUGCACUGGAGGCAGGACGCCGUCGCCAUGCUGCUCCUGGCCCUGCUCGUCGUGUCGGCCGGGCUCCAGGCCGACGCCGCUGCCGGCCCGGGCAGCCCCAUCUCGAGCCCCUUCGCUUUCAACGUCUCUGACACCGAGGCAUUGCUGGCCGUUUUGAUGGAACAGGGCGCACUCCCGUGAGUAUCCAUGCAACACUUACCCUGGAAUUUUACAUUAAUCAUAAUUUUCGGGGACAAUGGGUUUAGAUUUUCCAUUUUGUUUCCAAAACAAUAAUAAGUUUUACGAAACAAACAUUUUUAGACAAUCUCCAAAACUGUUUCCAUCAGAAGAAAAAGUACCCCCCUCGCUCUGUAACAGCGUGUAUAGCACAGAGCGGACGGUAUUGUUUUAUU